UUGAAUCUUGGGUUUACACUUUCCAGAUUGUCUCGCCAACCGCUCGCUUUCAUUCCUUUCACGCAACUCAUUACGCAUCUCUCUCUCUCUCUCGCUCGCGCUCGCUCUCGCUCUCGGCAUCGUUAUAUCGGUCUUACCCUGCGUUUUGAUUUCUAGGGUUUAUCCUCCCUCCUCGACUCGUCGGAAUUUGGAGACUACACUUUGUAACGCUUGACUGAAGCGUUUUCUCCGCGUGCUCGUUUUGGGGCUUCUCGGAGGUGGAAAUGUUGGAAAUUUAGGGUUUAUAGGAGGUGAGAAGAAAUGGUGUUUGGUCCGGAUUCCGUUGGGGAUUAGAUGGCGAAGGAGAGGGAAGUGGAUGCUGGUUCAAGUUUAUUUUCCUUAGAAGCUGCUUGUCUUCAAGGUCCAAAGUGGAUAGUUCAGUCAGCACCAGCGGCACAAGUAUACAAUAUGGUAUAGUUUCGGAAUUAUGUUGUCGGAGAAAUAAAUGUGCAGCUACUGAUUCCACGGUUAUCUCGUUGCCUGUGUUCUGUUGCAUUCUCGAGUUUACAUCGGAAUCAAUGUAGCUUUCCACUGAGUGCCGAGACAUUGGCACAUUGUGUUCUUUGCUAGAGUGAAGAUGGUCAUUGUGGAAAA